rnacentral:rRNA from 1 species
GACGAACGCUGGCGGCGUGCUUAACACAUGCAAGUCGAACGGAAAGGCCCUGCUUUUGUGGGGUGCUCGAGUGGCGAACGGGUGAGUAACACGUGAGUAACCUGCCCUUGACUUUGGGAUAACUUCAGGAAACUGGGGCUAAUACCGGAUAGGAGCUCCUGCUGCAUGGUGGGGGUUGGAAAGUUUCGGCGGUUGGUGAUGGACUCGCGGCUUAUCAGCUUGUUGGUGGGGUAGUGGCUUACCAAGGCUUUGACGGGUAGCCGGCCUGAGAGGGUGACCGGCCACAUUGGGACUGGGAUACGGCCCAGACUCCUACGGGAGGCAGCAGUGGGGAAUAUUGCACAAUGGGCGGAAGCCUGAUGCAGCAACGCCGCGUGCGGGAUGACGGCCUUCGGGUUGUAAACCGCUUUCGCCUGUGACGAAGCGUGAGUGACGGUAAUGGGUAAAGAAGCACCGGCUAACUACGUG